rnacentral:rRNA from 1 species
UUACUCUUCGGAGUGAGAGCGUACACAGGUGCUGCGUGGCUGUCGUCAGCUCGUGUCGUGAGAUGUUGAGUUAAGUCCCGCAACGAGCGCAACCCUCGCAUUCAGUUGCCAUCGGUAAGGCCGGGCACUCUGGAUGGACUGCCGGCGACAAGCCGGAGGAAGUGGGGACGACGUCAAGUCAUCAUGGCCCUUAUGUCCAGGGCGACACACGUGCUACAAUGGCCGGCACAACGGGAAGCGAAGGGGCGACCCUGAGCGGAUCCCACAAAAGCCGGUCUCAGUUCGGAUUGCAGUCUGCAACUCGACUGCAUGAAGUUGGAAUCGCUAGUAAUCGUGGAUCAGCCAAGCCGCGGUGAAUACGUUCCCGGGCCUU